CUACAGAAGACGGAUUCUUCUCUAUCUUCACCAAGCAAUGGCCUGUCAAGCCACAAAUAUCGGCUAUUAGCUUAUGAUGUCUAGUUGUUCAGCAUAUAUGUUGUUGCUGUUGCCGCCAGCAUGAACGAAGCAUUGUUUUCCAGGGAAGGAGUCCAUGAAGGGAGACUCUAGGUUUGUGUUUUCCAUGAAGACAUUUGCAUUGGGUGUUUAAAGCUCCAGCAAGAACAAUGAGUUAUAUAUGGCUAUUUUUUCAUCUCUUGACGCCGUAGUAUGUGAUGUGAGUUUUUGCUUUUCAUCACCAUUGAAUGUUUGUUUGGUCAUGCUGUGUUGGACGGUAUGAUCUAUAAUUGUAUAGUCCUGAUUUGGCCAUGGGUUGUGUGCACGCUCUGAUGGAACAUUUCCGAGGGCUGUUGUGCCCAGCAGUGCAUCAACUAGUAGGUCAUUUCUUUACCAGCAGUGCUUUCUCUUCGUGUUUCCUCGCUGGCUUAAUGAAUUUGGUCAAUACAUUUAUAUUGUUGCUUAUUUGUUGUGAGAUGUGACUGUCCGAAAAAGUGGAGAUGUUAUGGCGAUUUUUCAGGUUAAUACUGCUAGCUAAACUUCAAUAUUUCAGUUUUUUGUUAAUACUUUCACAAAGGGAAUCCUAAAUAGUUGCUAGUUUGAUGCGUAGCUCAGCAAAUAGGCAACAACUAGCCUUAAAAUUUCCUUGGUUUCAUGCGAUCAGCUAACCAUGCAGCUCAUUGGGUGACAACUAAUUUAUUAAUUCGGGCCUCCAAUGUCACCCUUUGGUUCUUUUCCCCAUCUUUUGGAAGCUCCUCUUUUUUAUCUUGUUUUUUUUGUACUUGGUUGCUUUCAUCACUCAGGGAACACGAGACAUGCUUGGUGAGAGCCAUAUGCUAGUUUGUCUCAUGUCCAGAGCAUCAUGAAUUGGUUGUUCUUCUCUUGUUCUUUAGUACUAGUUCCACUCGCGACUCCCUGAAGGACUUGAUUCCUCUUCAAGUUAUUUCGGUUUUAAAGUAGUUGUUUGCUUCUCAUGAUGACAAUGUAGAUACAUAUGUUUUAGUCCGAUAUGGUGUGUAGCUCGGUCAAGUGCUUUCUAUUGGCACCCUCAUGUUCGUCCAUCUCUGUUGGUUAUUAAAUAGGGGUGUUCCUACUGCUUAGAUGUAUGUUAAAUGAACAAUAGUAUUAGUUUAUCUUUCAGACUUUGUUUCAUUACUAGUGUUCUCUUAUAAUCAUUCUCUUUGUUUGCCAUCACAUAAUUUGUUGGUCCUGAAUAUCGAACGCGCCUACAGUUGGAUAAUAAUGGGCAG